ensembl:snRNA U6 U6 spliceosomal RNA
GUGCUUGCUUUGGCAGCACAUAUACUAAAACUGGAACGAUACAGAGAAGAUUAGCAUGGCCUCUGCUUAAGGAUGACACGCAAAUUUGUGAAGUGUUCUAUAUUUUU